CGGGGUGCACCAGGCGCGAAACCUCUGCAAUAGGAGAAAGCUUGACAGGGUUACUGUGAGUGACGUUCGUUAAGGACGUCUUUUGGCACCUAUAAAAAUGGUGCAGAAUAAGGGGUGGGCAAGUCUGGUGUCAGCCGCCGCGGUAAUACCAGCACCCCGAGUGGUCUGGACGAUUAUUGGGCCUAAAGCAUCCGUAGCCGGUUCUGCAAGUCUUCCGUUAAAUCCACCUGCUCAACCAGAUGGGCCGCGGAGGAUACUACAGGGCUAGGAGGCGGGAGAGGCAAGCGGUACUCAGUGGGUAGGGGUAAAAUCCUGUGAUCCACUGAAGACCACCAGUGGCGAAGGCGUCUUGCCAGAACGCGCUCGACGGUGAGGGAUGAAAGCUGGGGGAGCAAACCGGAUUAGAUACCCGGGUAGUCCCAGCUGUAAACGAUGCAGACUCGGUGUUGGGUUGGGUUCGAGCCAACCCAGUGCCGCAGGGAAGCCGUUAAGUCUGCCGCCUGGGGAGUACGGUCGCAAGACUGAAACUUAAAGGAAUGGCGGGGGAGCACAAGGGCGAUUCGC
rnacentral:rRNA from 1 species